rnacentral:rRNA from 1 species
GACGAACGCUGGCGGCGUGCUUAACACAUGCAAGUCGAACGGAAAGGCCCUGCUUUUGUGGGGUGCUCGAGUGGCGAACGGGUGAGUAACACGUGAGUAACCUGCCCUUGACUUUGGGAUAACUUCAGGAAACUGGGGCUAAUACCGGAUAGGAGCUCCUGCUGCAUGUUGGGGGUUGGAAAGUUUCGGCGGUUGGGGAUGGACUCGCGGCUUAUCAGCUUGUUGGUGGGGUAGUGGCUUACCAAGGCUUUGACGGGUAGCCGGCCUGAGAGGGUGACCGGCCACAUUGGGACUGAGAUACGGCACAGACUCCUACGGGAGGCAGAAGUGGGGAAUAUUGCACAAUGGGCGGAAGCCUGAUGCAGCAACGCCGCGUGCGGGAUGACGGCCUUCGGGUUGUAAACCGCUUUCGCCUGUGACGAAGCGUGAGUGACGGUAAUGGGUAAAGAAGCACCGGCUAACUACGUG